UACGUAGGCAGCGAGCGUUGUUCGGAGUUACUGGGCGUAAAGGGUGUGUAGGCGGUUUUCUAAGUUUGGUGUGAAAUCUCCCGGCUUAACCGGGAGGGUGCGCCGAAAACUGGGAGACUAGAGUGCGGGAUGGGAGAGUAGAAGUUCCUGGUGUAGCGGUGAAAUGCGUAGAUAUCUGGAGGAACACCGGUGGCGAAGGCGGCAUCCUGGACCGGUAUUGACGCUGAGGCGCGAAAGCCAGGGGAGCAAACGGGG
rnacentral:rRNA from 1 species